GUGAUGCUUGAGACCAAAGCAAGAACACAUGUUCACAAAACCCUCUGCUAUUGAAAAUGCUUGUGAAUUAUGACCAAUGAUUUGGGGCAUUCAUUUAUUGCCUUAGAAUUUUAGAACUGGGAAGAGUCUCUGUGAAUAUUCAGACUUUCCCUGUCAUAUGAAAGAGAAAUUAGGCCUAGAGAGGCUGAAAUGUUUCUUUGUUAUUUGUUUGUUUUUCUUAAUCAUGUACAUGUAUUGAGAGAGGGAGAGAGAGUAGACUUGACCAGAUCACUACUUUGUUCUCAAACCUUUCUCUCCUGACAUUUGGUUUCAUUGACCUUUUUAUAUUGGCUAGUAGUUUAAAAAUCCACUUCUUUUAUUACCUGUAUGCCAGCCAGAUUGGAAAAGAUAUUUGUUACUAUUUAUGUUGUAGGUAGUGAGUCAGGACAGUUGAGGGAAGGGUGUAAACUCUGAGCUUUGUAACAGUAUUAGGAUUAGAGAAGUCAGUAAAGCUUAUUCUGUUAUUGCCAAAAGAGGAUUGAUUAUCUAUAUGAUAGCCAAAUCAAGGCUUCAGGCAAACUUGCUUUUACUAAAGACUUAAGACACUAAGAGGAGAGAACAGUCACUUCUAUGUGUCACAUAAAAUUGGAUUUGUUAGACUUU